rnacentral:rRNA from 1 species
GACGAACGCUGGCGGCGUGCCUAAUACAUGCAAGUUGAGCGCUGAAGGUUGGUAUUUGUACCAACUGGAUGAGCAGCGAACGGGUGAGUAACGCGUGGGGAAUCUGCCUUUGAGCGGGGGACAACAUUUGGAAACGAAUGCUAAUACCGCAUAAAAACUUUAAACACAAGUUUUAAGUUUGAAAGAUGCAAUUGCAUCACUCAAAGAUGAUCCCGCGUUGUAUUAGCUAGUUGGUGAGGUAAAGGCUCACCAAGGCGAUGAUACAUAGCCGACCUGAGAGGGUGAUCGGCCACAUUGGGACUGAGACACGGCCCAAACUCCUACGGGAGGCAGCAGUAGGGAAUCUUCGGCAAUGGACGAAAGUCUGACCGAGCAACGCCGCGUGAGUGAAGAAGGUUUUCGGAUCGUAAAACUCUGUUGGUAGAGAAGAACGUUGGUGAGAGUGGAAAGCGCAUCAAGUGACGGUAACUACCCAGAAAGGGACGGCUAACUACGU